GAGCGAGAAGCAAACAUUGCAAUCAGUUUCGACCUGAUCUUAGAUAAAUUCCUAUCCCCGCUUU
rnacentral:tRNA from 1 species